rnacentral:rRNA from 1 species
UACGUAGGUGGCAAGCGUUGUCCGGAAUUACUGGGCGUAAAGCGUGCGCAGGCGGUUCGCAAAGACAGGUGUGAAAUCCCCGGGCUUAACCUGGGAACUGCGCUUGUAACUAGCGGGCUAGAGUACGGCAGAGGGGGGUGGAAUUCCACGUGUAGCAGUGAAAUGCGUAGAGAUGUGGAGGAACACCGAUGGCGAAGGCAGCCCCCUGGGCUAGUACUGACGCUCAUGCACAAAAGCGUGGGGAGCAAACAGG